rnacentral:tRNA from 1 species
AAAGGGAGACCUAAUUCAGGUAGGAGACGAAAAAAAGUAGUCGCUACCAAGAAUCAAUCCCAAAAGGUCGGAGCGAGGCGAAAUUGGCUUUCAAACUAGGUUCUGGGUUCAAACAAGACCUGAAUCAGGAACAAGGGCUAUUAGCUCAGGUGGUUAGAGCGCACCCCUGAUAAGGGUGAGGUCCCUGGUUCGAGUCCAGGAUGGCCCACCUGUACAGGUGGCAAAAAGAAAGAAAAGAAGCGAGGAAUCAGCACCUUAUCUUACUGACAUAGUAAGAGAGAAUGCUGGCUCUGAGUAAAGAGUCCAGAGGAACCUUGAAAACUGCAUAGAGCUAGGUGAAAAAGCCAAAAAAGAAGACCGCAAG